rnacentral:rRNA from 1 species
AGCGAACGCUGGCGGCAGGCCUAACACAUGCAAGUCGAACGAACUCUUCGGAUUUAGUGGCGGACGGGUGGGUAACACGUGGGAACGUGCCUUUUGGUUCGGAAUAACUCAGGGAAACUUGUGCUAAUACCGAAUGUGCCCUUCGGGGGAAAGAUUUAUCGCCAUUAGAGCGGCCCGCGUCUGAUUAGCUAGUUGGUGAGGUAACGGCUCACCAAGGCGACGAUCAGUAGCUGGUCUGAGAGGAUGACCAGCCACACUGGGACUGAGACACGGCCCAGACUCCUACGGGAGGCAGCAGUUGGGAAUCUUGCGCAAUGGGCGAAAGCCUGACGCAGCCAUGCCGCGUGAAUGAUGAAGGUCUUAGGAUUGUAAAAUUCUUUCACCGGGGACGAUAAUGACGGUACCCGGAGAAGAAGCCCCGGCUAACUUCGUG